rnacentral:rRNA from 1 species
AUGCGGCCGCUCUCUCAACCCCGACGCGCCGCCGUCCUCCGCCUUCCCCUGCAUUCCGCUNNNNNNNNNNNNNNNNNNNNNNNNNNCACCCUCCGCCAUGGUGAAUCCACCUCCAGAUCGAGAAGGGGAGGCAGCAUACGUCGCAUCCACGCACCAGAUCGAGCAGCGGCGCUCCCAGAUCGAUCCAUCUCCAUCGUCCUCGCGGUUGACGCCCAUGUCCUCCUCAAGGAUGGCCGUCUCCGUGCUCCACCACCAUCCUUUCCCUCCUCCCUCACCGCAUCUCACAUGGCGCUGGGAUCUUCCAGAUCGAGCGCCGGCAGGGUAGGCGCCUCCGCCGCCCAAGUCCAAGACCCCGCCUCCGCCGCCGGCAGGGAUCUUCCAGACCAGCGCAAGGUCUUCCGCGUCACUAACCACGCCGGGGUCGCGCUCGCCGGCCUCACAGCCAUCUUCCUCCAUGAGCUGCAGCCCAUCCUCGCCAACCACCUGCAGACCCAGACCGCCACCACCGGCAACGCAUGCGUCGUGGCCUGCAGUGCCGCCGCUGCCAAGGACCACCUCUUCAAGGGGUCGCAGGAGCAGCCGGGCCUGGUCACCAUCACCAUGGAGGAGAUCCUCCGGUUCGUGGCGUCCGUCGGCGGCGCCGUCUGGGUGUCGUCGUACCAGGCUCAUGUCAAGUCAGUUGAGGAUUUCGCGCGGCUGGGCUGUUUCAAUGAGAACCAGGACAAGCAGCAGCCCGCCAAAGCUUCUUCCACCCAACACCAGCCCACUAAACUGACUAGUUUUUCAUGUCUUGUGUGA